UCUUCCAACAAAAUUAUGGUAGGCAACACCAUAUUUACAAUUUCAGGUUUGACAACAGAAAGAUAGAAAAUCCAGUGGCUUUUCCAACAGAACUGAAAACAAGAAUCCAGAAAUUUUGUGAUCGAAGAAUUUUCUUGGAUAAUGUGGUGAAGACAUUUAAUGAUGAAAUGGCUGUAAUACUGAAAGGAAGAGGAAGGAAGAGAUUUAAAAGAAGCUUAUCAGAGGAACAAAAAGGCAACAGAGUGCAAGUUACUCUGGAUCAAGACACAGCCUUUCAGAAUCUCUGGAUUUCUCCAGACCUGAAGAAGGUGUGCCAUGUCAACUUUAUUGAGCCAUUGCCUGAACGUCCUAGAGGAUUUAAAUUGUCGCACUCUGUUCUGGGCCAUCAGGUUUUCUCUUCAGGGAGGCAUUAUUGGGAGGUGAAGGUGUGUGGAU